rnacentral:rRNA from 1 species
AUUGAACGCUGGCGGCAUGCUUUACACAUGCAAGUCGAACGGCAGCGCGGGCUUCGGCCUGGCGGCGAGUGGCGAACGGGUGAGUAAUACAUCUGAACGUGCCCAGUAGUGGGGGAUAGCUCGGCGAAAGCCGGAUUAAUACCGCAUACGACCUGAGGGUGAAAGCGGGGGAUCUUCGGACCUCGCGCUAUUGGAGCGGCCGAUGGCAGAUUAGCUAGUUGGUGGGGUAAAGGCCUACCAAGGCGACGAUCUGUAGCUGGUCUGAGAGGACGACCAGCCACACUGGGACUGAGACACGGCCAAGACUCCUACGGGAGGCAGCAGUGGGGAAUUUUGGACAAUGGGCGAAAGCCUGAUCCAGCAAUGCCGCGUGUGUGAUGAAGGCCUUCGGGUUGUAAAGCACUUUUGGCGGGAACGAAAAGGACUGUGCCAAUACCACGGUUCGAUGACGGUACCCGCAGAAUAAGCACCGGCUAACUACGUG